rnacentral:rRNA from 1 species
UUAUUUGAGAGUUUGAUCCUGGCUCAGGAUGAACGCUGGCGGCGUGCCUAACACAUGCAAGUUGAGCGAUUUACUUCGGUAAAGAGCGGCGGACGGGUGAGUAACGCGUGGGUAACCUACCCUGUACACACGGAUAACAUACCGAAAGGUAUGCUAAUACGGGAUAACAUAUUUGAGAGGCAUCUCUUGAAUAUCAAAGGUGAGCCAGUACAGGAUGGACCCGCGUCUGAUUAGCUAGUUGGUAAGGUAACGGCUUACCAAGGCGACGAUCAGUAGCCGACCUGAGAGGGUGAUCGGCCACAUUGGAACUGAGACACGGUCCAAACUCCUACGGGAGGCAGCAGUGGGGAAUAUUGCACAAUGGGCGAAAGCCUGAUGCAGCAACGCCGCG